AUUCUUGAAUUAAAUUUUUUUAAUUUUUAUGAGUCUACAAGUCAAGAUUGAUAUCUAACAAUGUGUUAUGACUAUUCAGAAGAGAUGAAAUUUGAUAAAAAUAUUAAAAAUAUCUUUCAAUGGCAAGUUACCAUGUAAUUCAAUCCUUCAGUUAUACAAUACCCUAGAUGAGCUAUGGGCAUGGAAUCAUGUCCAGCUUAAUUGCUUAUCUAAAUAUAUCUCGAUCAGAAGGUGAUGAUUCAAUUGAUAAUACCUUA
rnacentral:lncRNA from 1 species